CAGAUUUAAUAGACUGAGUGCCUUUAAGCAUCCGAGUGUCCUGCUGCACAGAGGAUAGUGACAAUGCGGCUAUUGACCAUGUGGUUUGUGUGGGUCGCAUUUCUAACAGACCUGAGUCGCGGAGAUUCUGUCACCCAGUCACUCCCCUCAGACGUUCGGACAGAAGGAGAUGCGGUGACACUAACCUGUACCUAUGAUACUACAUUGAGCAGCUAUAUAUUGCUCUGGUACCGACAGCAUCAAAGCUCACAGCCCGAAUUUAUUUUUUGGAAAAAUACUGCUGGUAGCGAUCAUAAAGCAAAUUUUGUGCAAGAUCGUUUCUCUAUGGAACUUCAGACCUCGAAGAAAUUCACCAGUUUGACUAUCGCCAGGCUACAGCUGUCGGACGUUGCGAUGUAUUACUGCGCUUUCUGGGACAGCACAGUGAUGAGAAGCAAUCUCACCCCUGUACAAAAACUUCCUUGA